UGGCUCAGAUUGAACGCUGGCGGCAGGCCUAACACAUGCAAGUCGAACGGCAGGCGGGGGGGUAGCUUGCUACCCCGCCGGCGAGUGGCGGACGGGUGAGUAAUGCCGUGGGGGAGCUGCCCAAUCGAGGGGGGAUACCAGUUGGAAACGACUGCUAAUACCGCAUACGCCUGGAGGGGAAAGGUGGGGAUCUUCGGACCUACCGCGAUUGGAUGCACCCAGGGUGGGAUUAGCUAGUUGGUGAGGUAACGGCUCACCAAGGCGACGAUCUCUAGCUGGUCUGAGAGGAUGACCAGCCGCACUGGAACUGAGACACGGUCCAGACUCCUACGGGAGGCAGCAGGUGGGGAAUUAUUGCACAAUGGGGGAAACCCUGAUGCAGCCAUGCCGCGUGUGUGAAGAAGGCCUUCGGGUUGUAAAGCACUUUCAGCGAGGAGGAAAGGAGGAUAGCUAAUACCUAUUCUCUGUGACGUUACUCGCAGAAGAAGCACCGGCUAACUCCGUG
rnacentral:rRNA from 1 species